rnacentral:rRNA from 1 species
UCAAGAAACUUCCACAAUGGGCGAAAGCCUGAUGGAGCGACGUCGCGUGAUGGACGAAGUGCUUCGGCACGUAAACAUCUUUUAUGUGGGAUGAAAUUAUUGACAGUACCACAUGAAUAAGGGGCUCCUAACUCUGUGCCAGCAGGAGCGGUAAUACAGAGGCCCCAAGCGUUAUCCGGAAUCACUGGGCGUAAAGGGUGUUGAGGCGGUUGUAUUAGUCGUUCGUAAAAUCUACGAGCUUAACUUGUAGGCGGCGAACGAAACGGUACGACUUGAGGUUUGGAGAGGUGCGUGGAACUCACGGUGUAGGGGUGAAAUCCGUUGAUAUCGUGGGGAACACCAAAGGCGAAGGCAGCGCACUGGCCAAAAUCUGACGCUCACACACGAAAGCUAGGGUAGCGAAGAGGAUUAGAUACCCAAGUAGUCCCUGAGCGGGCUGGCAAGGCGCAU